rnacentral:sRNA from 1 species
GAGGAGAGCUUUUAUUUCCCAAAAGAAAGCAAAAUAAUGUUAAAGCAUUCAUUCUGUAUCCGAAUUCGUCUUAUCCCUUGACGUUGCUUUAACAUUAUUCUCCCUAAUACUCCCUUUAACCGCAUCCCCCUGGUGCGGUUAUAUUU